CUCCCAUCAACAUAAACCUUGUGCUAGUUGCCAAAUCCUUUGAGUGAGCAAAAAUGUGGCUAAACAUUGUGUCCUUAUUAGUAAUCCUCAAAGGAGUCCAGUCUCAAGUCCAGUUGGUGGAGUCUGGAGGAGAUCUGCAAAGACCUGGAGGGUCCCUCCGUCUCUCCUGCCAAGCCUCUGGAUUCCCUUUCAGCAGCUUUAGCAUGAGCUGGGGGAGACAGUUUCCAGAGAAAGGACUGGAAUGGGUUGCACACAUGGGUUCAUCUAUCACUUACUACUCAGACAAAGUGAAGGGACGCUUCACCAUCUCCAGGGAUGAUGCCAAAAGCCAGCUGUAUCUGCAAAUGAGCAGCCUCACAGCUGAAGACACAGCCGUAUAUUACUGUGCAAGAGGCACAGUGAGAGGAAGUGAAUCUGAAGCCAAACAAGAACCUUCCUUUCUUCAGAGCAGUUCUUCAACUUGACUGAG